CUUCUGUGUCUAGUCUUCCAUGGGCUUUUACCUUCAGUACUGCCACCUCAGCUGGAAGUUCCAAUGCGUCCAUCAGCUCUGCAAUGCCUGCCCCAUGCUUUACUGGGGUACCAGCGGCCGUAAGAAAUCCUCUGGUCUUCCAAAUUAAGCCAAAAUCAUGUGCUACUCCCAAGGCAUAUCUUGAAUCCGUGUAAAUGUUGACA